AUUUAUAUAAUAUAAUAAGUAUAAUUAAUUUCCAAUUAAUAAGUUUAUUCAAUUAAUAAUAUAAAUA
rnacentral:tRNA from 1 species